AUGAACGCUAGCUACAGGCUUAACACAUGCAAGUCGAGGGGCAGCAUGGACAUAGCUUGCUAUGUUUGAUGGCGACCGGCGCACGGGUGCGUAACACGUAUCCAAUCUGCCCGUUACUCGGGGAUAGCCUUCUGAAAGGAAGAUUAAUACCCGAUGGCAUGUAUUUCCGGCAUCGGAGAUACAUUAAAGAUUUAUCGGUAACGGAUGGGGAUGCGUGACAUUAGGUAGAUGGCGGGGUAACGGCCCACCAUGCCUACGAUGUCUAGGGGUUCUGAGAGGAAGGUCCCCCACACUGGAACUGAGACACGGUCCAGACUCCUACGGGAGGCAGCAGUGAGGAAUAUUGGUCAAUGGGCGAGAGCCUGAACCAGCCAAGUAGCGUGAAGGAAGACUGCCCUAAUGGGUUGUAAACUUCUUUUGUUCGGGAAUAAAGUGCAGUAUGUAUACUGUUUUGUAUGUACCGUUCGAAUAAGCAUCGGCUAAUUCCGUG
rnacentral:rRNA from 1 species